rnacentral:rRNA from 1 species
UACGUAGGGGGCGAGCGUUGUCCGGAGGUACUGGGCGUAAAGGGCACGCAGGCGGUGCGGCGCGUUUCGCGUGACAGCGGAGGGCUUAACUCUCCGAGGAUGCGAAAGACGGCGGCACUUGAGGGCCAGAGAGGGACACGGAAUUCCGGGUGGAGUGGUGAAAUGCGUAGAGAUCCGGAGGAACACCGAAGGCGAAGGCAGUGUCCUGGCUGGUGACUGACGCUGAGGUGCGAAAGCUAGGGGAGCGAACGGG